GCCGGGUGCGGUGGCGCGCACCUGUAGUCCCAGCUACUCGGGAGGCUGAGGCUGGAGGAUCGCUUGAGCCCAGGAGUUCUGGGCUGUAGUGCGCUAUGCCGAUCGGCUGUCCGCACUAAGUUCGGCAUCAAUAUGGUGACCUCCCGGGAGCGGGGGGGCCACCAGGUUGCCUAAGGAGGGGUGAACCGGCCCAGGUCAGAGACGGAGCAGGUCAAAGCUCCUGUGCUGAUCAGUAGUGGGAUCGCGCCUGUAAAUAGCCACUGCACUCCAGCCUGGGCAACAUAGCGAGACCCCGUCUCUA
rfam:Myotis lucifugus cont2.7736, whole genome shotgun sequence.